rnacentral:rRNA from 1 species
CGCUGGCGGCGUGCCUAAUACAUGCAAGUCGAGCGGACAGAUGGGAGCUUGCUCCCUGAUGUUAGCGGCGGACGGGUGAGUAACACGUGGGUAACCUGCCUGUAAGACUGGGAUAACUCCGGGAAACCGGGGCUAAUACCGGAUGGUUGUUUGAACCGCAUGGUUCAGACAUAAAAGGUGGCUUCGGCUACCACUUACAGAUGGACCCGCGGCGCAUUAGCUAGUUGGUGAGGUAACGGCUCACCAAGGCGACGAUGCGUAGCCGACCUGAGAGGGUGAUCGGCCACACUGGGACUGAGACACGGCCCAGACUCCUACGGGAGGCAGCAGUAGGGAAUCUUCCGCAAUGGACGAAAGUCUGACGGAGCAACGCCGCGUGAGUGAUGAAGGUUUUCGGAUCGUAAAGCUCUGUUGUUAGGGAAGAACAAGUGCCGUUCAAAUAGGGCGGCACCUUGACGGUACCUAACCAGAAAGCCACGGCUAACUACGUGCCAGCAGCCGCGGUAAUACGU